UCCCAGACUCCUACGGGAGGCAGCAGUGGGGGAUAUUGCACAAUGGGGGAAACCCUGAUGCAGCGACGCCGCGUGAGUGAAGAAGUAUUUCGGUAUGUAAAGCUCUAUCAGCAGGGACGAAAAUGACGGUACCUGACUAAGAAGCCCCGGCUAACUACGUGCCAGCAGCCGCGGUAAUACGUAGGGGGCAAGCGCUAUCCGGAUUUACUGGGUGUAAAGGGAGCGUAGACGGCGUGCCAAGUCUGGUGUGAAAGGCCGGGGCUCAACCCCGGGACUGCAUUGGAAACUGGCAUGCUGGAGUGCCGGAGGGGCAAGCGGAAUUCCUAGUGUAGCGGUGAAAUGCGUAGAUAUUAGGAGGAACACCGGUGGCGAAGGCGGCUUGCUGGACGGUAACUGACGUUGAGGCUCGAAAGCGUGGGGAGCAAACAGGAUUAGAUACCCCAGUAUUC
rnacentral:rRNA from 1 species